rnacentral:rRNA from 1 species
GCAUAUCAAUAAGCGGAGGAAAAGAAACUAACAAGGAUUCCCCUAGUAACUGCGAGUGAAGCGGGAAAAGCUCAAAUUUAAAAUCUGGCAGUCCUUUGGCUGUCCGAGUUGUAAUCUAGAGAAGUGUUAUCCGCGCUGGACCGUGUACAAGUCUCCUGGAAUGGAGCGUCAUAGAGGGUGAGAAUCCCGUCUUUGACACGGACUACCAGGGCUUUUGUGAUAUGCUCUCAAAGAGUCGAGUUGUUUGGGAAUGCAGCUCAAAAUGGGUGGUAAAUUCCAUCUAAAGCUAAAUAUUGGCGAGAGACCGAUAGCGAACAAGUACCGUGAGGGAAAGAUGAAAAGGACUUUGGAAAGAGAGUUAAACAGUACGUGAAAUUGCUGAAAGGGAAACGCUUGAAGUCAGUCGCAUUGUCCAGGGAUCAACCUUGCUUUUGCUUGGUGUACUUUCUGGUUGAUGGGUCAGCAUCAAUUUUGACUAUUGGRAAAAGAUUAAGGGAAUGUGGCAUCUUCGGAUGUGUUAUAGCCUUUGGUUGAAUACAAUGGUUGGGAUUGAGGAACUCAGCACGCCGCAAGGCCGGGUUUUUAACCACGUACGUGCUUAGGAUGCUGGCAUAAUGGCUUUAAUCGACCCGUCUUGAAACACGGACCAAGGAGUCUAACAUGCCUGCGAGUAUUUGGGUGGAAAACCCGAGUGCGUAAUGAAAGUGAAAGUUGAGAUCCCUGUCAUGGGGAGCAUCGACGCCCGGACCAGACCUUUUGUGACGGUUCCGCGGUAGAGCAUGUAUGUUGGGACCCGAAAGAUGGUGAACUAUGCCUGAAUAGGGUGAAGCCAGAGGAAACUCUGGUGGAGGCUCGUAGCGAUUCUGACGUGCAAAUCGAUCGUCAAAUUUGGGUAUAGGGGCGAAAGACUAAUCGAACCAUCUAGUAGCUGGU